AUUUAUUCAAGAAUUUUGUGUAAAAUGUCGGCGAGCGGCGGACGGCUGAGUAACGCGUGGGAACGUACCCCAAAGUGAGGGAUAACGCAUCGAAAGGUGUGCUAAUACCGCAUAUGGUCUUCGGAUUAAAGCCUUCGGGCGCUUUGGGAACGGCCUGCGUAAGAUUAGAUAGUUGGUGGGGUAAUGGCCUACCAAGUCAACGAUCUUUAACUGGUUUGAGAGGAUGAUCAGUCAGACUGGAACUGAGACACGGUCCAGACUCCUACGGGAGGCAGCAGUGAGGAAUCUUCCACAAUGGGCGAAAGCCUGAUGGAGCAACGCCGCGUGCAGGAUGAAGGCCUUCGGGUUGUAAACUGCUUUUAUAAGUGAGGAAUAUGACAGUAACUUAUGAAUAAGGAUCGGCUAACUACGUGCCAGCAGCCGCGGUCAUACGUAGGAUCCGAGCGUUAUCCGGAGUGACUGGGCGUAAAGAGUUGCGUAGGUGGUUUAAUAAGCGAAUAGUGAAAUCUGGUGGCUCAACCAUUCAGACUAUUAUUCGAACUGUUAAAUUCGAGAGCAGAAGAGGUAGCUGGAAUUUCUAGUGUAGGAGUGAAAUCCGUAGAUAUUAGAAGGAACACCGAUGGCGUAGGCAGGCUACUGGGCUGUUUCUGACA
rnacentral:rRNA from 1 species